UACGGGGGGGGCAAGCGUUGUUCGGAAUUACUGGGCGUAAAGGGCUCGUAGGCGGCCAACUAAGGCAGACGUGAAAUCCCCAGGCUCAACCUGGGAACUGCGUCUGAUACUGGAUGGCUUGAAUUCGGGAGAGGGAUGCAGAAUUCCAGGUGUAGCGGUGAAAUGCGUAGAUAUCUGGAGGAAUACCGGUGGCGAAGGCGGCAUCCUGGACCGACAUUGACGCUGAGGAGCGAAAGCUAGGGGAGCAAACGGG
rnacentral:rRNA from 1 species